rnacentral:rRNA from 1 species
ACCCUAUUAUACUUAAUCAAUUUAAGGUAGUAAAAUUUUAUUUUUAAACCUUUGUAGUUUGGCGGCAUUUACUCAACCCAGAGGAACCUGUCAUUUAACCGAUAACCCACGAUAUUUCUCACUUUCUUUCAUAUUUUGUAUACCUCCAUCUUAAGGAAUAAUUCUUAUAUUUUAUCCUAAAUAGACUUCUAAUAAGUUAGGUAAAGGUGCAGACAAUAAGAAAGAUAUGAUGGGUUACAUUUAAAAAUUAUUAAAGGAUAAGUUUAUUAACCUUUAUUUUUAAAAAGGAUUUGUUAGUAAGUUAAAAAUAAUAUUCUUUUCUGAACUUGAUAAACAAUGUGCACACAUCG